UUGAACGCUGGCGGCAUGCUCUACACCUGCAAGUCGAACGGUAACAGGCCGCAAGGUGCUGACGAGUGGCGAACGGGUGAGUAAUGCAUCGGAACGUGCCCAGUCGUGGGGGAUAACUACUCGAAAGAGUAGCUAAUACCGCAUACGAUCUAUGGAUGAAAGCGGGGGACCGUAAGGCCUCGCGCGAUUGGAGCGGCCGAUGUCAGAUUAGGUAGUUGGUGGGGUAAAGGCUCACCAAGCCAACGAUCUGUAGCUGGUCUGAGAGGACGACCAGCCACACUGGGACUGAGACACGGCCCAGACUCCUACGGGAGGCAGCAGUGGGGAAUUUUGGACAAAGGGCGCAAGCCUGAUCCAGCAAUGCCGCGUGCAGGAAGAAGGCCUUCGGGUUGUAAACUGCUUUUGUACGGAACGAAACGGCUCUGGUUAAUACCCGGGGCUAAUGACGGUACCGUAAGAAUAAGCACCGGCUAACUACGUG
rnacentral:rRNA from 1 species